rnacentral:rRNA from 1 species
UACAGAGGUGGCAAGCGUUGUUCGGAAUUACUGGGCGUAAAGGGCGCGUAGGCGGUUUCGUAAGUCCUGUGUGAAAUCCCCCGGCUCAACUGGGGAACUGCACAGGAAACUGCGAGGCUUGAGUUCGGGAGAGGGAAGCGGAAUUCCGGGUGUAGCGGUGAAAUGCGUAGAUAUCCGGAGGAACACCGGUGGCGAAGGCGGCUUCCUGGACCGACACUGACGCUGAG